CGGAGGGUGCAAGCGUUGUCCGGAUUUAUUGGGUUUAAAGGGUGCGUAGGCGGUCUUUUAAGUCAGUGGUGAAAUCCUGCAGCUCAACUGUAGAUCAGCUAUUGAUACUGAAAGACUUGAGUACAGACGAGGUAGGCGGAAUUUAUGGUGUAGCGGUGAAAUGCAUAGAUACCAUAAAGAACCCCUAUUGCGAAGGCAGCUUACUAGGUUGUAACUGACGCUGAGGCACGAAAGCGUGGGGAUCAAACAGGAUUAGAUACCCUGGUAGUCCACGCCGUAAACGAUGAUUACUCGAUGUUCGCGAUAUACGGUGAGCGUCCAAGCGAAAGCGUUAAGUAAUCCACCUGGGAAGUACGAUCGCAAGAUUG
rnacentral:rRNA from 1 species